ensembl:misc_RNA Metazoa_SRP Metazoan signal recognition particle RNA
GCCGGGCACGGUGGCAUGCACCUGUAGUCCCAGUUACUCGGGAGGCUGAGGCCGGAGGAUCGCUUGAGUCCAGGAGUUCUGGGCUGUCGUGCGCUAUGCCGAUCGGGUGUCUACACUAAGUUCGCCAUCAAUAUGGUGACCUCCCGGGAGCGGGGGACCACCAGGUUGCCUAAGGAGGGGUGAACCGGCCCAGGUCGGAAAUGGAGCAGGUCAAAACUCCCGUGCUGAUCAGUAGUUCAUUACAGCAGCAACAGGUUACCAGUACAUUAUCUAAUUUCAGAACUAUU